UACGUAGGGUGCAAGCGUUGUCCGGAAUUAUUGGGCGUAAAGAGCUCGUAGGCGGCUUGUCACGUCGGCUGUGAAAACCUGGGGCUCAACCCCGGGCCUGCAGCCGAUACGGGCAAGCUAGAGUUCGGUAGGGGAGACUGGAAUUCCUGGUGUAGCGGUGAAAUGCGCAGAUAUCAGGAGGAACACCGGUGGCGAAGGCGGGUCUCUGGGCCGAUACUGACGCUGAGGAGCGAAAGCGUGGGGAGCGAACAGG
rnacentral:rRNA from 1 species